AUUGAACGCUGGCGGCAGGCUUAACACAUGCAAGUCGAGCGGAAGAAGGGAGCUUGCUUCUGGUUCCAGCGGCGGACGGGGGAGUAAUGCCUAGGAGUCUGCCUGCCUGUGGGGGAUGACGUCCUGAAACGGGCGCUAAUACCGCCUACGUCCUGAGGGAGAAAGCGGGGGUUCUUCGGACCUCACGGUAUCAGAUGAGCCUAGGUCGGAUUAGCCAGUUGGUGGGGUAAAUGCCUACCUAGGCGACGAUCCGUAACUGGACUGAGAGGAUGAUCGGUCACACUGGAACUGAGACACGGUCCAGACUCCUACGGGAGGCAGCAGUGGGGAAUGUUGGGCAAUGGGCGAAAGCCUGAUACAGCCAUGCCGCGUGUGUGAAGAAGGUCUUCGGAUCGUAAAGCACUUUUAGUUGGGAGGAACGGCUGUAAGUUGAGACCUUGCUGGAUUGACGGUACCAACAGAAUAAGCACCGGCUAACUACGUG
rnacentral:rRNA from 1 species